AGUGAACGCUGGCGGUAGGCCUAACACAUGCAAGUCGAACGGCAGCACAGUAAGAGCUUGCUCUUACGGGUGGCGAGUGGCGGACGGGUGAGGAAUACAUCGGAAUCUACUUUUUCGUGGGGGAUAACGUAGGGAAACUUACGCUAAUACCGCAUACGACCUACGGUUGAAAGCAUGGGAUCUUCGGACCUUGCGCGAUUGAAUGAGCCGAUGUCGGAUUAGCUAGUUGGCGGGGUAAAGGCCCACCAAGGCGACGAUCCGUAGCUGGUCUGAGAGGAUGAUCAGCCACACUGGAACUGAGACACGGUCCAGACUCCUACGGGGGGCAGCAGUGGGGAAUAUUGGACAAUGGGCGCAAGCCUGAUCCAGCCAUACCGCGUGGGUGAAGAAGGUCUUCGGGUUGUAAAGCCCUUUUGUUGGGAAAGAAAAGCAGCAGGUUAAUACCCCGCUGUUCUGACGGUACCCAAAGAAUAAGCACCGGCUAACUUCGUG
rnacentral:rRNA from 1 species